ACGACCACAUAGCAUUGAAACACCUGCUCCCGUACGAUCACUGAAGUUAAGAAAGUAGAGCCUGUUUAGUAUCUAGAUGAGUGAUCGCUUGAGAAUAACAAGUGCUGUAAG